ACCCAGCUGACGAGUCCCAAAUAGGACGAAACACGUGUCAAACUGGAU
rfam:Schistosoma margrebowiei strain Zambia genome assembly, scaffold: SMRZ_scaffold0002515